rnacentral:rRNA from 1 species
UCCAGACUCCUACGGGAGGCAGCAGUGGGGAAUAUUGCACAAUGGGGGAAACCCUGAUGCAGCAACGCCGCGUGAGUGAAGAAGUAUUUCGGUAUGUAAAGCUCUAUCAGCAGGGAAGAAGAUGACGGUACCUGAGUAAGAAGCCCCGGCUAACUACGUGCCAGCAGCCGCGGUAAUACGUAGGGGGCAAGCGUUAUCCGGAUUUACUGGGUGUAAAGGGAGCGUAGACGGUGAGACAAGUCUGAAGUGAAAGCCCGGGGCUCACCCCCGGGACUGCUUUGGAAACUGCGGCGCUGGAGUACGGGAGGGGCAGGCGGAAUUCCUGGUGUAGCGGUGAAAUGCGUAGAUAUCAGGAGG